UUGACCCUAAUUUCCUGUUCCUGUGGCCCAAUGCGAGAGUGUCGAUUUUGGCCCCAGGCCACUCGGAUGCAUUUGUGCAGAAUGAAGAGGAAAUCACACAGAUUAAUGAGAUGUUGGAGGAAGAGAGUUCAGCAUUCUUUUCCACCGGCAGACUGUGGGAUGAUGGUCUUCUUCUACCUCAAGACACCAGAAAGGUUUUGAGCAAGUGUCUGAAAAUCAUUAAGCAACAAGAGUAUCAAUUGUCCAGAGAGAAAAUGAGGACUCCUUUUCUUCGACUAUAACACUACCUCUGCAGAAACUUUAUAAACUUGUAUACGCUGUUUUAUUAAAGUAAUAAACUAACAGUGUUAGUUUUAAGCACAUAUCUUUAUUUUAAUGACAAUUUGCCUGUAAUCAGCAGUAGUGCCAUUAUUAUUGUGAUUUUCUGACUAAUGUAAAAUAAACCUGUUUGUACAUAUGGAAUUUUACUUCAGAUGAAAUCAUUGUUUAUAAAUGCUGAAGUAGAAU